rnacentral:rRNA from 1 species
CUCCUACGGGAGGCAGCAGUGGGGAAUAGUUGCGCAAUGGGCGAAAGCCUGACGCAGCGACGCCGCGUGGGGGAUGACGCUUUUUCGGAGUUGUAAACCCCUUUCGAACUUCGGGACGAAUGCUCGCAAGAGGAGUGACGGUACCGGUAGAAGAAGCCCCGGCUAACCUACGUGCCAACCGCCGCGGAAUAC